rnacentral:rRNA from 1 species
UACGUAGGGGGCAAGCGUUGUCCGGAAUCAUUGGGCGUAAAGCGCGCGUAGGCGGCCCGGUAAGUCCGCUGUAAAAGUCCAGGGCUCAACCCUGGAAAGCCGGUGGAUACUGUCGAGCUAGAGUCCGGAAGAGGCGGGUGGAAUUCCGGGUGUAGCGGUGGAAUGCGUAGAGAUCCGGAAGAACACCGGUGGCGAAGGCGGCCUGCUGGGCUAUGGCUGACACGUGAGG